GUAAACCCUAAACUACAAACACCGCUUUCAUUCUUUUCAUCUAUCUUUGUGUUUUCUCCUCUACAUUGAAGUCGCUUCGAUUCUUUGAGGUAUCCUGCAAUCCUCAACUCGAACCCUAAUUUGUGGUCCAAUUGCUUUUAUUGUUAAUUGUAUGUUAUUAUGAAUUUGGGUUUUGUUGUUUUUUUGAACAAUGGGUUUUGAUAAGAAGAGAGCGACAGACAGAGGUGGUGUCGCAGACAUGGCGACGACCUUUCUGCUCAACUUGCUAGGGUUCCGACACUAUGUUCAUGAGUUCCUUCCUUUUGAAGUCAGAAGUCAGAAGUAAUAAGGGAUUUUGUUUUGGUUUUAUGGAAUUCAUGUCAUUGGAUUCCAUGCAUAGUGCUAUAAAGCAACUGUUAGUAUGAAUCCAAUGAUUCGGACAAUGGUUCCACCUCCGUUUCAGCAGAUGGCACUUGCAC
rnacentral:lncRNA from 1 species